UUACGGUCAUAUCACGUUCAAAUACCGGUUCCCGUACGAUCGCCGAAUUUAAGCAACGUAGAUCCUGGUCAGUACCUAGAUGGGUGAGCGCUUAGGAAUACCAAAUACUGUA